rnacentral:rRNA from 1 species
GACGAAGGUGGCGAGCGUUGUUCGGAAUCACUGGGCUUAAAGCGCACGCAGGCGGCCUUUCAAGUGCUUUGUGAAAUCCCUCGGCUCAACCGAGGAAUUGCUUGGCAAACUGUUAGGCUUGAGGUAGGUAGGGGCGAGUGGAACUCUUGGUGGAGCGGUGAGAUGCGUAGAUAUCAAGAGGAACGCCAGAGGCGAAGGCGACUCGCUGGGCCUGUCCUGACGCUGAGGUGCGAAAGCCAGGGGAGCGAACGGG